CUAUUGUAAUAAAUAGUAAACUGAUUCUAUGACCACAAUGAUCGAUUCUCCCAUCAGGCUUUUGGUUCAAGCACAUUAAACUUCAUUCGAAGAUCGGUACAUGUAUAAUUUCCUAAUAUGCAAGCAUUAAUUUCAACUAAAGCCAUUGAGGAUAUAGCUCAACUGUCAGUAGAGUUCUUCUCAGCCUAGAGAUCCCGUGUUCAAGCCUUUUUUUUUUUUUUUUGCAGUAAUAAAAAAAAACCUUCAACUAAUAAGAGUAUAAGAAAAACAUUAAUUAAGAAAAUUGAAAGUUAGUUUCAUUAAGCAGCUCCAAAUUAGCCGAAACAGCCCAUCCAGUUCAUAAAAAAACGAUUAAACUAUCUAA
rnacentral:lncRNA from 1 species